AUAAUCAGCAUAAAGGACAUGGA
rnacentral:snRNA from 1 species